GAUGAACGCUAGCGGGAGGCCUAACACAUGCAAGCCGAGCGGUAUUGUUUCUUCGGAAAUGAGAGAGCGGCGUACGGGUGCGGAACACGUGUGCAACCUGCCUUUAUCUGGGGGAUAGCCUUUCGAAAGGAAGAUUAAUACUCCAUAACAUAUUGAUUGGCAUCAAUUAAUAUUGAAAGCUCCGGCGGAUAGAGAUGGGCACGCGCAAGAUUAGCUAGUUGGUGAGGUAACGGCUCACCAAGGCGAUGAUCUUUAGGGGGCCUGAGAGGGUGAUCCCCCACACUGGUACUGAGACACGGACCAGACUCCUACGGGAGGCAGCAGUGAGGAAUAUUGGUCAAUGGGUGCAAGCCUGAACCAGCCAUCCCGCGUGAAGGACGACUGCCCUAUGGGUUGUAAACUUCUUUUGUAUAGGGAUAAACCUACCCUCGUGAGGGUAGCUGAAGGUACUAUACGAAUAAGCACCGGCUAACUCCGUGCCAGCAGCCGCGGUAAUACGGAGGGUGCAAGCGUUAUCCGGAUUUAUUGGGUUUAAAGGGUCCGUAGGCGGACUUAUAAGUCAGUGGUGAAAGCCUGUCGCUUAACGAUAGAACUGCCAUUGAUACUGUAAGUCUUGAGUAUAUUUGAGGUAGCUGGAAUAAGUAGUGUAGCGGUGAAAUGCAUAGAUAUUACUUAGAACACCAAUUGCGAAGGCAGGUUACCAAGAUAUAACUGACGCUGAGGGACGAAAGCGUGGGGAGCGAACAGGACUAGAUACCCUGGUAGUCCACGCCGUAAACGAUGCUAACUCGUUUUUGGGCUUUAGGGUUCAGAGACCAAGCGAAAGUGAUAAGUUAGCCACCUGGGGAGUACGCUCGCAAGAGUGAAACUCAAAGGAAUUGACGGGGGCCCGCACAAGCGGUGGAUUAUGUGGUUUAAUUCGAUGAUACGCGAGGAACCUUACCAAGACUUAAAUGGGAAUUGACAGCUUUAGAAAUAGAGCUUUCUUCGGACAAUUUUCAAGGUGCUGCAUGGUUGUCGUCAGCUCGUGCCGUGAGGUGUUAGGUUAGGUCCUGCAACGAGCGCAACCCCUGUCACUAGUUGCCACCAUUCAGUUGGGGACUCUAGUGAGACUGCCUACGCAAGUAGAGAGGAAGGUGGGGAUGACGUCAAAUCAUCACGGCCCUUACGUCUUGGGCCACACACGUAAUACAAUGGCCGGUACAGAGGGCAGCUACACAGCGAUGUGAUGCAAAUCUCGAAAGCCGGUCCCAGUUCGGAUUGGAGUCUGCAACUCGACUCUAUGAAGCUGGAAUCGCUAGUAAUCGCGCAUCAGCCAUGGCGCGGUGAAUACGUUCCCGGGCCU
rnacentral:rRNA from 1 species